rnacentral:rRNA from 1 species
GUCGAGCGGUAGAGAGGUGCUUGCACCUCUUGAGAGCGGCGGACGGGUGAGUAAAGCCUAGGAAUCUGCCUGGUAGUGGGGGAUAACGCUCGGAAACGGACGCUAAUACCGCAUACGUCCUACGGGAGAAAGCAGGGGACCUUCGGGCCUUGCGCUAUCAGAUGAGCCUAGGUCGGAUUAGCUAGUUGGUGAGGUAAUGGCUCACCAAGGCGACGAUCCGUAACUGGUCUGAGAGGAUGAUCAGUCACACUGGAACUGAGACACGGUCCAGACUCCUACGGGAGGCAGCAGUGGGGAAUAUUGGACAAUGGGCGAAAGCCUGAUCCAGCCAUGCCGCGUGUGUGAAGAAGGUCUUCGGAUUGUAAAGCACUUUAAGUUGGGAGGAAGGGCAUUAACCUAAUACGUUAGUGUUUUGACGUUACCGACAGAAUAAGCACCGGCUAACUCUGUGCCAGCAGCCGCGGUAAUACAGAGGGUGCAAGCGUUAAUCGGAAUUACUGGGCGUAAAGCGCGCGUAGGUGGUUCGUUAAGUUGGAUGUGAAAUCCCCGGGCUCAACCUGGGAACUGCAUUCAAAACUGUCGAGCUAGAGUAUGGUAGAGGGUGGUGGAAUUUCCUGUGUAGCGGUGAAAUGCGUAG